GUAGUCUCGCACAGAUGCAUAUCAAUAAGCGGAGGAAAAGAAACUAACAAGGAUUCCCCUAGUAACGGCGAGUGAAGCGGGAAGAGCUCAAAUUUGAAAUCUUAAAGGGUUUCCCUUUACGAAUUGUAGUUUAAAGAAGUGUUUUCUGUCGAGGUUUUGGUAAAAGUUCUUUGGAAUAGGACAUCAUAGAGGGUGAGAAUCCCGUAUUUGACCUUUACUUUCAACUUUGUGAUACACUUUCAAAGAGUCGGAUUGUUUGGGAAUGCAGUCCAAAAUGGGUGGUAAAUUUCAUCUAAAGCUAAAUAUUGGCGAGAGACCGAUAGCGAACAAGUACCGUGAGGGAAAGAUGAAAAGAACUUUGAAAAGAGAGUUAAACAGUACGUGAAAUUGUCAAAAGGGAAGCGUUUGACACCAGUGUUGUUUUUCUGAAAAUCAAUUAAAGAACUGUUUAUGCUAAGCUGUUUAGACUUUAUCAGCUAUCUGUUUAGUUUUGAGCUUUUCUUUAAUGCACUUUUCAGUUAACAAGUCAACAUCAAUUUCUUUUGCUGUAAAAAAGCUUGAGGAAGGUGGCUUGAGAUUCGUCUUAAGUGUUUAUAGCCUCUUGCCUAUGCAGUCGGAGAGAUUGAGGUCUGCAGCGUAGAUCCUCCGGGGCUAAAUGCAUUUGUGCUAAGUUAUAGCAUUUUAUAGACAACUUGUUGACUAUGAUUUGUCUUGUAGCUUACUCGCUUAUGUUAUUUUACCUACGCUUAGGAUGUUGAUCUGUAGUGCGUGCGC
rnacentral:rRNA from 1 species